UUUUUUGAAAGUUUAGUCCAUUUGGUGUUUUGGGGUUCUAGUGAAAUCAAAUUUUAAAGUUCAAGAUUUCAUAUUUUGAACAAUGACUUAAAAAUUGAGUCUUUUUUUUUAGUAUUAUGGAUUUUGCAGUACUUCAUUUGUUUGUUUUGGUAUUGUCUGUGUUGUGUUUGAUGAUAUGUGCCUUAGAGUUUGAUCCUGUUGAUAACUAUCUCAUAAACUGUGGUUCAUUUGAAAAUAUUACUAUAGGUGAUAGAGUUUUCUUGGCUGAUAACUUGAAUUCCACUCAAAGGGUAUUUGUUAAUACAACUCUAGAGUCUAUUCCAUCUAGUUAUAGUUCAAAUCUUUAUCAAACUGCUAGAAUUCUUAAUGAGAAAUCGAAAAUCAAGUUUUCGAUCAAGAAACAAGGGCGCCAUUGGAUUCGCCUGUAUUUCUAUCCGUUUUCGUAUGGAAAUUUCAAUCUAAGUACUGCUAAGUUCUCUGUUUCUGUUCAGAACUUCACUUUGAUCAAGAGCUUUGAAUCAUUGAGUGGUCCUUUAGUAAAAGAAUACACUUUGAACAUUACUAGUACUAGUCUUGUUCUUAAAUUUACGCCUUUUUCUAACUCGUUUGCGUUUGUAAACGCG
rnacentral:misc_RNA from 1 species